rnacentral:rRNA from 1 species
AUUGAACGCUGGCGGCAUGCCUUACACAUGCAAGUCGAACGGCAGCACGGGUGCUUGCACCUGGUGGCGAGUGGCGAACGGGUGAGUAAUACAUCGGAACGUACCUUAUCGUGGGGGAUAACGCAGCGAAAGCUGUGCUAAUACCGCAUACGCCCUGAGGGGGAAAGCGGGGGAUCGCAAGACCUCGCGCGAUUAGAGCGGCCGAUGCCUGAUUAGCUUGUUGGUGGGGUAAAAGCCCACCAAGGCGACGAUCAGUAGCUGGUCUGAGAGGACGAUCAGCCACACUGGGACUGAGACACGGCCCAGACUCCUACGGGAGGCAGCAGUGGGGAAUUUUGGACAAUGGGGGCAACCCUGAUCCAGCAAUGCCGCGUGAGUGAAGAAGGCCUUCGGGUUGUAAGGCUCUUUUGUCAGGGAAGAAACACCGGCUCUAACACAGUCUGGGAAUGACAGUACCUGAAGAAUAAGCACCGGCUAACUACGUGCCAGCCGCCGCGGUAA